rnacentral:rRNA from 1 species
CUCGCGCCUGUUUUUACAAAAACAUGUNUUUUUGAAAAUAAUAAAAAGUCUAAUCUGCCCACUGAAUUUAUUUAAAGGGCUGCAGUAUAUUGACUGUACAAAGGUAGCAUAAUCAAUAGUCUUUUAAUUGAAGACUUGUAUGAAUGAUUUGAUGAAAUAUGAACUGUCUCUUUUUUAAAAAUAAAAUUUAAUUUUUUAGUUAAAAAGCUAAAAUAAUUAUAAAAGACGAGAAGACCCUAUAGAGUUUUAUAGUUAUUUAAUUUAAAAAUUUUAUAUAUAAUUUAAAUUUAAAAUUAAUUAAUUAUUUUAUUGGGGUGAUAGAAAAAUUAAAAAAACUUUUUUUUAAAAUUUAACAUUAAUUUAUGAAAUUAUGAUCCAUAAUUUAUGAUUAAAAGAAUCAAUUACCUUAGGGAUAACAGCGUAAUUUUUUUUUUUAGUACAAAUAAGAAAAAGAGUUUGCGACCUCGAUGUUGGAUUAAGAUAAAAUUUAAAUGCAAAAGUUUAAAAUUUUUGAUCUGUUCGAUCAUUAAAAUCUUACAUGAUCU